GACGAACGCUGGCGGCGUGCCUAAUACAUGCAAGUAGAACGCAGUUGCGAACGGGAGAGUAACGCGUAGGUAACUGCCUGGUAGCGGGGGAUAACUAUUGGAGACGAUAGCGAAUACCGCAUACUACCAGAUGGACCUGCGUUGUAUUAUCUAGUUGGUGGGGUAACGGCUCACCAAGGCAACGAUACAUAGCCGACUUGGGAGGGUGAUCGGCCAAACUGGGACUUGGAAACGGGCCAGACUCCUAAGGGAGGCAGGAGGAGGGAAACUUCGGAAAAUGGGGGAAACCUGACCGAGCAACGGCGCGUGAGUGAAGAAGGUCUUCCGAUCGUAAAGCUCUGUUGUUAAGGAAGCGGUACUUAACCAGAAAGGGACGGCUAACUACGUGCCAGCCGCCGCGGUAAUAC
rnacentral:rRNA from 1 species